AUUGAACGCUGGCGGCAUGCUUUACACAUGCAAGUCGAACGGUAACAGGGUGCUUGCACCGCUGACGAGUGGCGAACGGGUGAGUAAUGCGUCGGAACGUGCCGAGUAGUGGGGGAUAACGCAGCGAAAGUUGUGCUAAUACCGCAUACGUACUGAGGUAGAAAGUGGGGGACCUUCGGGCCUCACGCUAUUCGAGCGGCCGACGUCUGAUUAGCUAGUAGGUGAGGUAAAGGCUCACCUAGGCGACGAUCAGUAGCGGGUCUGAGAGGAUGAUCCGCCACACUGGGACUGAGACACGGCCCAGACUCCUACGGGAGGCAGCAGUGGGGAAUUUUGGACAAUGGGCGAAAGCCUGAUCCAGCCAUGCCGCGUGUCUGAAGAAGGCCUUCGGGUUGUAAAGGACUUUUGUCAGGGAGGAAAUCCCUAGCGUUAAUACCGCUGGGGGAUGACAGUACCUGAAGAAUAAGCACCGGCUAACUACGUGCCAGCAGCCGCAGUAACAC
rnacentral:rRNA from 1 species